rnacentral:rRNA from 1 species
AUGCACGCUGGCGGCGUGCCUCACACAUGCCAGUCGCGCGGCAGCGAGGGGUGCUUGCACCCUGUCGGCGAGCGGCGGACGGCUGAGUAACGCGUGGGAACGUGCCCCAAAGUGAGGAAUAACUGCCCGAAAGGGUAGCUAAUACCGCAUAUUAUCUUCGGAUCAAAGGAUUUAUCCGCUUUGGGAGCGGCUCGCGUCGGAUUAGGUAGUUGGUGAGGUAAUGGCUCACCAAGCCGACGAUCCGUAGCUGGUCUGAGAGGAUGACCAGCCAGACUGGAACUGAGACACGGUCCAGACUCCUACGGGAGGCAGCAGUGAGGAAUCUUCCACAAUGGGCGAAAGCCUGAUGGAGCAACGCCGCGUGCAGGACGAAGGCCUUCGGGUUGUAAACUGCUUUUAUAAGUGAGGAAUAUGACGGUAACUUAUGAAUAAGGAUCGGCUAACUACGUG